rnacentral:rRNA from 1 species
GAUGAACGCUGGCGGUAUGCUUAACACAUGCAAGUCGAACGGACUCUUCGGAGUUAGUGGCGGACGGGUGAGUAACGCGUGAGAAUCUGGCUUUGGGUUCGGGACAACCACUGGAAACGGUGGCUAAUACCGGAUGUGCCGAGAGGUAAAAGAGAAAGUGCCUGAAGAUGAGCGCGCGUCUGAUUAGCUAGUUGGUGAGGUAAAGGCUCACCAAGGCAGCGAUCAGUAGCUGGUCUGAGAGGAUGACCAGCCACACGGGGACUGAGACACGGCCGAGACUCCUGCGGGAGGCAGGAGUGGGGAAUUGUCCGCAAUGGGCGAAAGUCUGACGGAGCAAUACCGCGUGAGGGAAGAAGGCUCUUGGGGUGUAAACCUCUUUUCUUAGGGAAGAACAAAAUGACGGUACCUAAUGAAUCAGCAUCGGCUAACUCCGUG